rnacentral:rRNA from 1 species
UACGUAGGGAGCAAGCGUUAUCCGGAAUGAUUGGGCGUAAAGCGUGUGUAGGCGGUUUAUUAAGUCUAAGAUCAAAGCCCGAGGCUUAACCUCGGUUCGUUUUAGAAACUGGUAGACUUGAGUGUGGUAGAGGCAAGUGGAAUUUCUAGUGUAGCGGUUAAAUGCGUAGAUAUUAGAAGGAACACCAGUGGCGAAGGCGGCUUGCUGGGCCAUUACUGACGCUGAGACACGAAAGCGUGGGGAGCAAA